UACGUAGGGUGCAAGCGUUGUCCGGAUUUAUUGGGCGUAAAGAGCGCGCAGGCGGUCGUUCAAGUCGCGUGUGAAAGCCCCCGGCUCAACUGGGGAGGGUCACGCGAUACUGAUCGACUCGAAGGCAGGAGAGGGUAGUGGAAUUCCCGGUGUAGUGGUGAAAUGCGUAGAUAUCGGGAGGAACACCAGUGGCGAAGGCGACUACCUGGCCUGUUCUUGACGCUGAGGCGCGAAAGCUAGGGGAGCAAACGGG
rnacentral:rRNA from 1 species